rnacentral:rRNA from 1 species
CCUACGGGUGGCUGCAGCAACGAAUAUUCCGCAAUGGACGAAAGUCUGACGGAGCGACGCCGCGUGCAGGAUGAAGUCCUUCGGGAUGUAAACUGCUGUCAGGGGUGAGGAAUAAGUUGACCAACCCCAGCGGAAGCAUCGGCUACUCCGUGCCAGCAGCCGCGGUANUACGGAGGAUGCAAGCGUUGUUCGGAAUCACUGGGCUUAAAGAGCAUGUAGGUGGGGUGUCAGGCGUCGGGUGAAAUCCCUCGGCUCAACCGAGGAACUGCCUGGCGAACCGGCAUUCUUGAGGCAGGUAGAGGUGGCUGGAACGACGGGUGGAGCGGUGAAAUGCGUAGAUAUCCGUUGGAACGCCGGCGGCGAAAGCGAGCCACUGGGCCUGUCCUGACACUGAGAUGCGAAAGCGUGGGGAGCAAACAGGAUUAGAUACCCUUGUANUC